CCAACGCAGACAGCAGAAGCAGUCACAACAGGUACUAUUCAAUCAUAGAGCAAGAAUAAGAGGUGCACAAAUUGAAAAGUCCCUGCCCCACGAAGAAGCACACAUGGAUCAUGGCUGUCAGCACUGUGUCCAUUCCAGUCCUACAGGUCUACGCACAUUACUCUGUCCCUGCAAUGCACUGCUGUUGUGAACAAAUACACUUAUAAUCCAUUCUUCAUUUUGAAAGCCC